GUCCUCGUAGCGCAGUGGUUAGCAUCUGAUUUUCUUAACGUUUGAUUUUCUCCAGCGAAUACCUAAGACAGCGGAAGACGUCGGUUCGAACCCGACCGAGGACA